GAGUUUGAUCUUGGCUCAGGAUGAACGCUGGCGGCGUGCCUAAUACAUGCAAGUCGAGCGAACGGACGAGAAGCUUGCUUCUCUGAUGUUAGCGGCGGACGGGUGAGUAACACGUGGGUAACCUACCUAUAAGACUGGGAUAACUCCGGGAAACCGGGGCUAAUACCGGAUAACACAUGAAACCGCAUGGUUUCAUGAUGAAAGACGGUCUUGCUGUCACUUAUAGAUGGAUCCGCGCUGCAUUAGCUAGUUGGUAAGGUAACGGCUUACCAAGGCAACGAUGCAUAGCCGACCUGAGAGGGUGAUCGGCCACACUGGAACUGAGACACGGUCCAGACUCCUACGGGAGGCAGCAGUAGGGAAUCUUCCGCAAUGGGCGAAAGCCUGACGGAGCAACGCCGCGUGAGUGAUGAAGGUCUUCGGAUCGUAAAACUCUGUUAUUAGGGAAGAACAUAUGUGUAAGUAACUGUGCACAUCUUGACGGUACCUAAUCAGAAAGCCACGGCUAACUAC
rnacentral:rRNA from 1 species